rnacentral:rRNA from 1 species
CCUACGGGGGGCAGCAGUGGGGAAUAUUGGACAAUGGGGGCAACCCUGAUCCAGCCAUGCCGCGUGUGUGAAGAAGGCCCUCGGGUUGUAAAGCACUUUCAGUGAGGAAGAACGCCUGGUGGUUAAUACCCAUCAGGAAAGACAUCACUCACAGAAGAAGCACCGGCUAACUCCGUGCCAGCAGCCGCGGUAAUACGGAGGGUGCGAGCGUUAAUCGGAAUUACUGGGCGUAAAGCGCGCGUAGGUGGCUUGAUAAGCCGGUUGUGAAAGCCCCGGGCUCAACCUGGGAACGGCAUCCGGAACUGUCAAGCUAGAGUGCAGGAGAGGAAGGUAGAAUUCCCGGUGUAGCGGUGAAAUGCGUAGAGAUCGGGAGGAAUACCAGUGGCGAAGGCGGCCUUCUGGACUGACACUGACACUGAGGUGCGAAAGCGUGGGUAGCAAACAGGAUUAGAUACCCAGUAGUC